ACAUGCAUACAACUUAGCGUUAAUGCAUCAGAUCCCAUUAGAACUCCGCAGUUAAGCGCGCUCGGGCUAGAGUAGUACUAGGAUGGGUGACCAUAUUUUACAUGCCUAUGGCAUUUU
rfam:Picea glauca, whole genome shotgun sequence.